rnacentral:rRNA from 1 species
UACGUAGGGUGCAAGCGUUAAUCGGAAUUACUGGGCGUAAAGCGUGCGCAGGCGGUUCGCUAAGACCGAUGUGAAAUCCCCGAGCUUAACUUGGGAAUUGCGCUCGAAACUACGUGGCUGGAGUGUGGCAGAGGAAGGUGGAAUUCCACGUGUAGCGGUGAAAUGCGUAGAGAUGUGGAGGAACACCGAUGGCGAAGGCAGCCUUCUGGGCCAACACUGACGCUCAUGCACGAAAGCGUGGGGAGCAAACAGG